GUGAUGUAGCGCGUGAGGGCCGAUUUUGUGAAGAAAACCUUCGAUCUGA
rnacentral:snoRNA from 1 species